rnacentral:ncRNA from 1 species
GGAUAUUAGAUUUUCUUAAUGUUCUGUACGUUCCCCAGCAGCUCGGCAACAGGAUGUUGCCGAGAGCGAGACCUGAGCCAUGGAUGGCGAAUGUCGAGCGGUUGCGUCAAGCAGCCAACACCUAUAUCAGAGCAUUUAGAAAAUCUUAUAUCC